rnacentral:lncRNA from 1 species
GGGUCGGCAUGGCCCAGCCCUGCGGCACCUGCGAGGCCCGACCCCUCAGAGCACGGCCGUGGGCGUUCCCAGGCUCCCCCAGUGAGGUGGCAGGGCUACUCCCACUCCGGAGAGGGGUAAACUGAGGCGGGAAGCCGAGGAGUCAGGAAGGUACCUGUCCUCCAACAGACGCAGCUUUCACAGCAGUACUAUUAGGGCUCCUCUGCUCGCAUUCUGGGAAUCACAAGCUAACAGGCACUGGGUAGGACUCUGUGCUGUUGGACCACUCAGGAUGCCUUUAGAAAGCCGCGAGUGUUCAGGGGCUGAGUUCAGGCCCAGGGAGGCUGAUGGGCACGUGUAAGGGGUGAGGCCUUGCGGUGGGGAAGCCUGCUGUGAACAACAAGCACUGUGCUUGCCUGUCCAGUGGGGAGACCAAAUCCCACUGGAGCUGGUCGUCCCUGGGGCUGGCUGCCCGGGAGUGGGAUCAGGGAGGAGCUGAACCUCAGGACCAAGGCUGGCCAGGCCGAGGCAUGGAGGAGGGUCUGAGUCUGGGGAUGAGGCUGCAGGAGGCUCUGGCACUGAGGCUGAGCUCGGAGGGCAGGUUUAGGGGCUGGGCUGGGGUGGUCAGCGUCUCUGUCUCUUCUUAUGCCUGGCUCCCAGACUCAGCUCCCACAGCAGAAGAUGCAGCUGCAGGAGGCCUGCAUGCGCAAGGAGAAGAGUGUGGCCCUGCUGGAGCACCAGCUGGUGGAGGUGGAGGUGAGGGCUGCUGGGGAACAUGGGCAGGGGGUCCAGGCUGAGGACAGCUCACCAAUGCGCUCGCCUGCCCCCUACAGGAAACGGUGCGGCAGUUCCGGGGGGCUGUUGGGGAGCAGCUGGGCAAGAUGCGGCUGUUCCUGGCCGCGCUGGAGGGCUCUUUGGACCGGGAGGCAGAACGAGUUCGGGGCGAGGCUGGGGUGGCCUUACGGAGGGAGCUGGCAGGCCUGAACUCCUACCUGGAGCAGCUGCGGCAGAUGGAGAAGGUGCUGGACGAGGUGGCCGACAAAGCACAGACCGAGUUCCUCAUGAAAUAUUGCCUGGUGACAAGCAGGCUGCAGAAGAUCCUGGCAGAGUCACCACCCCCUGCUCGUCUGGAUAUCCAGUUGCCUGUCAUUUCAGACGACUUCAAAUUCCAGGUGUGGAGGAAGAUGUUCCGGGCUCUGAUGCCAGGUACUGAGAGGGCGGACCCCGAGCUUGUGUGUGAGGGGUUAGUGGGGUCCCAAUUCAACUCAGGAAGGCACCGAAGGCACCCGCACCUCAGCUCUGGCUCCCCCUGCAGCCCUCUAAUCUGCACGUGGAAGACUUCGGAGGGCAUGGUGUUCACAGGUGACAGACAGGGGGAGAGCGUUGCUGUUGGCAGACAGGAGGCUGGGGCUUGAGUUUGAACCACUGACUCCCGUGUCAUCCUUGGCCAGGCACUGCCUCUCUCUGGAUAUGGAGACGAAGAUUCCUGUUCAUGGGGGUGGGCUGGGGGCUGAGGGUCCGAAGCGCACCUGGAACCCUGGGCACUGGCCUGGGUCAGACACUGGCUCUCGAGCCCAUGGCUGGGGUAGCUCAAGCCUGAGCCUUGGCUCCCAAGGGUACAGCACAUCCGGAUGCUACAGGCCAUGCGGCACAUCUGACGCAGCCCUUGCUGUCUCUGGUUGGUGAGCUGAGACCCGGGUUUAGUCCAGAGAAAACUGAGACCCAGAAACCCGGUCAGGAGAGAGGCCAGGUGUGGUGGCACAUGCCUCUGAGGCGGAGGCAGAAGCAUCCCGAGUUCCAGUGUAGACAGGGACAAGGGUUCAGUCGCCAGGAACCCCAGCCCUCCACGGGAUGACUGAGGACCAGGCCUGGCGAUGGCCUGAGGCGACCUGGGUCUAGUUGGGGCCACAGGCGGCGGGUCCCUCCCUGGUUACCCGCAGAGCUGCCCCGGCCCGAAAGAGGGAAUUGGGGCUCGUUGGGCGGCUGGGCAGAAUGAUCCAGGGCGGCCGGCUGACCGCGGCGUCCCCGCAGCGCUGGAGCAGCUCAC